rnacentral:misc_RNA from 1 species
GCCAUUGCCUGGUAUGCCAAAAGAAAUAGAUUUACAGGAGUCCAAAAUACAUGUGUAUUAACUGUACACGAAUGAUACUUGACUUCACCGCAUGAUUCCAGCUAUGAUAUACACAUUUUCUGACCAAAGACAUUUAACAAUGACUUUAAUAAAGAUCAAAACUCAUUUUCAGGAUUAUGUUCAUUUCAUUCGAACAGCCAAGUGAUAAUGUCCAGCAGAAAAGAUGUCAGAGGACCCAAUGAAGACUAAAUUAUAUGUUAUGGUAAGGUGCUACGAAGUAGGAGACAUAAAGUUUAUGUAUUUUGUAUCAAGAAGUAACCAUUCAAGAGUUAAAGAUGAUCAUUUGAUAAGGCAUUUAACUGUCUCAAUAUCUAAUCACUAACAAAAACAAAUUAAAUAUACUUAGUCACACAAUAAAAUUUUUAUCAAGAAUAAACAUA